rnacentral:rRNA from 1 species
CCUACGGGAGGCAGCAGUGAGGAAUAUUGGUCAAUGGGCGCGAGCCUGAACCAGCCAAGUCGCGUGAGGGAGGACGGCCCUACGGGUUGUAAACCUCUUUUGCCAGGGAGCAACGGGCGUCACGUGUAGCGCCACCGAGAGUACCCGAAGAAAAAGCAUCGGCUAACUCCGUGCCAGCAGCCGCGGUAAUACGGAGGAUGCGAGCGUUAUCCGGAUUUAUUGGGUUUAAAGGGUGCGUAGGCGGAACGUUAAGUCAGCGGUCAAAUUGCGGGGCUCAACCCCUCACCGCCAUUGAAACUGGCGUUCUUGAGUGGAAGAGAAGUAUGCGGAAUGCGUGGUGUAGCGGUGAAAUGCAUAGAUAUCACGCAGAACCCCGAUUGCGAAGGCAGCAUGCCGGCUUCCGACUGACGCUGAAGCACGAAAGCGUGGGGAUCGAACAGGAUUAGAUACCCCUGUAGUC